UAGCAAGUUUGCUUCAGUAGUUGCCUUGGUAACCAAACAAACAUACUUGCUAGUUUAGAUAACCAAACCAUCAGUCCUAGCUUGAAUUAUGAAAAUCUAAUUCAACAAUACCAAUACUGUUUUCAAUUUGACUUAAUUUGUAAUGUCCAAAAGUCAAAACGUAUUUACCGUGGAUUGGAGGGAAGAGGUCUGUGAACCAAUAUCAGUUUGUUCUAUUCAUAAAAGUAAUAUGGGGUGGAAGCUACUGAAGUUUUAGGGAAGCAUUUUUCAGGUAAAGUCAAUUCAGAGAAUGACAGACUUUGAUGCCAAACCGCCACUACACCUUCCUGUUCAAGAGAGCACAGCACAACAAGGUGAGUCCAAAAGUGUAUUGAGUGCUGCUCUAUAAAUGAUGUAAUAUGCCAGGGAGAUAUGUAUACUGUAGCUAAGAAAGUAAUACUAAGUGUAUGUUGUGUAGUAAGCUGUUAGUAGCCCAUGUGUCUCACCCUAAUAAUUUUGUGCCUUUCCCCUCUCAUAACUUAGCCUACUGCUCUGACUUGGUGGUGCACAUGUAGACUAUAUAUAUUGACUACGUCCAUCCUAGCUCUCUCAUUAAUGUCUUAAUCAAAAUAAUGGAUUGCCUGUUAUCCACUCGUUGUCCCCUCAAGUUUCAGUAGAAACCACAUUUGUUUAAGCAAGUCAGCCAUAUCAGCUAUGUUUUUUAAAAAGGAUUCACUCCAUGGUGCUGAAAAGAAAGCUCUGCUGUUGGGACAGCUUUAUGUCGACCCUAACAGUUUGUGGGCACCGUUUGUCAAAGUUAUAGUGCAAUUAAUGUAUUGUUUAGUGUUGUGUUGUGUAGUGGCUUUGCUGGCAUUCAUCUAAAACAUUUUGGGUGAAUUUUCCACACCAAGAUGUACAUGCUGCAAUCACCACUGGGUGAAUUAUAACACAUCAACCCUGUUACCUAUAGAUAGACAGUCUAGAAAUGUUGAAACAAUUUACAUUUGUUUGGUAAGCUUGCAUUCCAUUCCCCCUGUCACAUGGGGAUCUAUGGUUGAUUCUAAAUGAAAUAGUCAACUCUGUUACAGUCAACCCUGUCACUUGAUUUGGCACUUAAUAGGCACUUGCUAUAGUAUGUAUUUUUUACUUUUGAGAUGGGAAAAAAUGUGUUUUAUUCAGUUGAACAUGUGCUCUUUAUGACAGAAUGUUAGAAUUAGGUGAAAUAAAAGUUACACUCCCCAAAAGGUACUCAACUGGUGGAACGACCCAAGUACUGAACUUGAGGUGGGAGAGCUAACGAUGCGUCUACUGUUGCUCUCUCCUCAGAUUCUUAGAGAAGCUAUUUCAAUCUGAUAUUUCUCCUCUGGUCUAAAAUAGAUGUGUAUAGAGGACUCCUCUCUAAUAUAACAUGUCACACAUUGUAGCAAACUGAUGGAAUGUUAGGUGUCUCAUUGAAAGUCUAACAUCUACCAUGACUACUGGAUGUUUCAAUUCUAAUAAAUAACAAAACAAUCCACACCCUAACAACAAUAUUGCUUUUUUAAUAAAUGCUUUUAUUCAAACGUAAAACUUUAAUAACAAAAAUGACAUUGUCAAACAUCACUGGCCUGACUUGAGCAGCUCUGCCUGGGGAUGGAGCCAGCAACUCAGCUGCUACCGGUCCGGUCCAGGCUACCUGCAGACCUCCUCCCAGACCUCCCCUUAACAGGUGAGGUGGUGGAAAUGAUCAGAGUUGCGUUCAACUUGAAUAAAGAUGAGAAACUCUGGUUUGUGGAGCCACUGGUCUGAGGGGAGGACUUCUGUUUAAACCAUGUCCAUUUGGGGAUAUUUUCUAGGACAGUAGAGGUGGUGAGCAGAGAUGAAUUUAAUUAGGAUAAAGAUGAGAAUCUCUGUUCUGGGGAGGAGGGUCACUGACCUUCGAUGGUUUGUUGCCUGAUAAAGAGGAUACUUGCUGGCUUGAGGAGACGAUUAUGUUUUGUGGAGGAAAUGUGGCUUGAUGACUUAAAGAGGAGGAAGAAUUAUUGGGCGACACUUUUAAUGACCAACGUAACCUCAGUGGAACUGUGGCUUCUUCGAGUUCCAGAUCUAGGCAGACAGCAGGUCAGGAAUGCUGUAAGACAUCAGAGACAGAUGCCUGGCCUUUUCUUGUUUUUGGAGGUUAGCUCUGAUGUUUCAGCCUCUUCUGGAGCUUCUAGCUGCUGGCUGUCUGGCACCCCCUGUUGGUUCUCUGGCCACUCCUCCUGGUUCUCUGAACUCCCCUCCUGGUUCUCUGCCCAUGCCUGUUGCCUCCUUGGCCUUUCCUGGUGGUCAUCUCCAGAUCCAGUGGGCUGUGUUGUCUCCAGAUAAUCGUGGCUGUGUUGGGUGGUUAGACACCGGGUGUUGAUUUGAGCAUCAGCCUCCAGAUUCAUCUGCUCCAGGAGGGGGUAAGAAGACAGUCCCAGUAGGAGACGGAGAUCGUCCAGAAGAAGAAGAGGUGUCCAUCUCCUCAGAGACUGCAGGAAAGGUCUACAAGUUUUAUUUCUGGAAAAUAAAGAGAUGCCUUCGUUCAGCAACAA